AUGAUUUUUUGCUUCAAAACCGCCCAAACCGCACCGCGAACACCCCUAAAUUCAAGUCCAAUUUGGAGGGAAAGAAUACAUUUCAUUUUGAAAAAGAAGUCAUUACAUAUUUCUACAAGAUUCACAUUCCAUUACAAAGAUCCAAAUACAAUUGCCAUUACCAUCAAGAAAGUUACAAGAAAAAUUUACAUUUUGACUUAA